rfam:Glycine soja cultivar W05 scaffold1092_57, whole genome shotgun sequence.
GAUCUGAUAUGAGAGAAAGCCAUGACUUACACACGCAUUGAAAUCUAAGUUAAAUAUGUGUGUAAGUCAUGGCAUUAUCUCAUAUCUAAUC